GCGGGGAUAGCUCAGUUGGGAGAGCGUCAGACUGAAGAUCUGAAGGUCCCGUGUUCGAUCCACGGUCACCGCACCA
rnacentral:tRNA from 1 species